rnacentral:rRNA from 1 species
UACGGAGGGUGCUAGCGUUGUUCGGAAUCACUGGGCGUAAAGCGCGUGUAGGCGGCCCACUAAGUCUGAUGUGAAAGCCCGGGGCUCACCCCCGGAAGUGCAUUGGAAACUGGUGGACUCGAGUCCCGGAGAGGAGGGUGGAAUUCCUGGUGUAGCGGUGAAAUGCGUAGAUAUUAGGAAGAACACCAGUGGCGAAGGCGGCUCACUGGCCCGGUACUGACGCUGAGGCGCGAAAGCGUGGGGAGCGAUCCGG